AGAAAGGGGCGGCAGUCCGAAGUCGAAGUCAGAAGUUUGAACGUUCGUUUGACGAUUUGUACACAACACGUGCAGCAGGACGAGUCAGUGGACGACGCAUCAGGGUCCGGUUACCACACGCCGCUCUGGCCCAGUCAGAUCCGACAGCAUAGACUACAAAAGCAAAAGCUCAGAUGCUCUUGUGGGAAGCGAGAGUCAGACUUCAUUCGACCAUCGCUGUAAGCACAGCAACGAGUGAACUCUCCGCCUGCAGGUGUGUAAAACGACUAACUUGUCUCCGAGUGGUUCUUGCAAAAUAAGUUAGAGUGAGCACCACUGACCCGGAUCCUCGUACCCGCCAUCUGGCUGACGGAGGAAGACGUGCUGCAGUGUCGACAAGCCAGCGUCCAUUAGGAGGACCUGGAAAAGAAAGUCCUGGGAAGAGAACUUCUUCGCUGGGCCAGUAUCUUAAGUCUACCUUCGUCUGACAGAGGUGGAUUGACGGGACACGGCAAUGCAACGAACCAGGGGUCAAGUCGACAACCCCAUCAAUCCAGGAGACUGGGUCUACAUCAAGGUCAUCAAAGGAAAGAACUGGGCCAGCCAUGGUGGGAGGGACCAUUCCAAGUCUUGCUGACUUCCCCCACCGCAGUGAAGAUCGCUGUACGACCCAGCUGGAUUCACCUCAGCCACUGCAAGCUACAAGGAGUGCUGGACCCCUCAUUUCGGGACGGUGGCGAAGUCUGCGAACAACGAUCCCAACUCCGCUAGGCGGGGGUAUGUCUCGGUGUUCCUGUCAUCUUAGUAGCAACGGGGCUCCACAUGACAGGUGGAUCCUCUGCUGCGUUGUGGUUGGAGCAUGCUAUGGUCUAUGGACACAUCUGAACAGACCAAGUGAUAAUGUUGACCGUGAAAAACGAUGGUCACACGAUGAGAACUUUGAGGACUGGUCAUGAGACCCCAGAAACCCAUACGAAACCAAGGCUUGGUACCGGUAUGUGAAGGUCACUGUGAGAGCGCACACACAGGUGGGAUGUUAUGUGUGUGUUCAAAACCAGUGGCCUAAACCAGAACGCUACCUGGAAUGGACUACACGUGUUUCAUCCAAGAAAACAAGACCACGAAUGCAUUCACGACAACUGCUCUCCAGGAGGGAACUGGAUGGGAGCUUUGGACAUCACCGCUGUGUGCCAGGACGGGAGAGCCAUUUCGAGGCGUACGGGCUCUCCUGCCAAUAUGGCUGCACCAUUGGACCUGCUUCAUUCGGAACGGAUCGUGGCUUUAUUUUCAUUUUUUAUUGAUAGCAUUCUGGUCGCCUAAGGCAGAGGGACCGUGUGAGACUUUUCCUGUAUAUUAACAUUGGCCAGCAGGUUUUUAGAUCACACAAUAAGUUUGAACUGGAGUAUUGAGGAAAAACCUCAUCUUCACUGGAAGUUGUUGCUAUCAUUAGUUGUUGUUUUUGUCGUGUUUCACCCUACACGUUCCCAACCCGUCCGCUGUCGUCUCAGUUUUCUAUUGAUCUUUUUUAUUAUUGUUUUUAUUCUUCUUCUUUAUAUUUUCUUCCUUGUGUUUGGUUGAUCGGGUUCACAUAAUCAUAUGAUAAAACAGGAGGGAUAUGUCAGGGUUUUCCAAACUAUCUUGAUCUAUGAUUAUGUUGGAAUGUAUGUAACCGGUAAUAAAUAACUUAGCUUGUCCCAUCCUACACAAUGUCGUAAAACAUCCCCUGCUCUGCUAAUCUAGAGGUCAAGGGCUUUAACAUGUCUAUUCAGUCCACUGUCACCCCCACGCUUUUUCUCGUAAUAAAGAUGCUCUUGUGGGAAGCGAGAGUCAGACUUCAUUCGACCAUCGCUGUAAGCACAGCGACGAGUGAACUCUCCGCCUGCAGGUGUCUAAAACGACUAACUUGUCUCCGAGUGGUUCUUGCAAAGUAAGUUAGCGUGAGCACCACUCUAACAUAUAUGACUUUGUACCUGUGUGUGCAUGUGUGGGUGUGUGUGUGCAUAUAUGCGUGUGUCAUUGUGUGGGAGGCGAGGGUGGCGUGCCUUAGAUCACGUCCGCCACCAUUUCUGUGAGUAAAUGGAAGUAAAUGAAUACAUGAGAGGGUAAACUUGCUUUUCAUACCUUCAAUGUUGUCAUUUUUGUCGUUAAGUAGGCCUAUUUAUGAAAUGCGAUAAAAUGCUGUAUUUUACAUGAAACCGACUGAAAAUUUCUGACCGCGGGGAUCUACGGCUUCUUCUUAGUGAGUUCCAGCCUGAUGUUGAGAAGCUUAUGUCCCUGCACCAAGCACAUCCAUGCCAUUAAUAUUAAGUGUGAGACAAUGAAGGUUACUGGUGGAAUGUUUAUUUACCAUUCUAUGUUGCUGAAACAGUUAAAACUGCUAAAAAAUUCAUUUGUUUACUAAAUUGGGUUUUAUUUGUGAAAUACACAUUUGUGUUUAACCUUUCUCUUUUCAAAUUGCAGCAUACCAAAUAUCAAGAAAGAGGUGUUUGUUUCCAUAUGUGUCUGUGGGGGGCGCUAGGAAUUCACUGGGGAGCCAAGGGGGCGCCAGCCUGCAAAAGUUUGGGAACCAUUGGUUUAGUGCAGGGGUCCCCAAACUUUUUCCUGUGAGGGCCACAUAACCUUUCCCUUCUCUGAUGGCGGGCCGGUGGCAGUUUGUAACAGAAAAAGUGUGACGAUCGUAGGGGAGCUUAAAAAAAUUAUUGUUUUCCAGAAAGCCACACAUAACCAAAUAACGGUUAUUUAAUAACCCUUUCCAGGUUCUUUACAGAAAAAAAGUCAGGAAACAAAUAAUAACACUAUUAAUGAAAUAAAUAAUAACUAAACCCUCUCUGAGUUCUUCACAGAAAAAACAGGAAAUAAAUAACUAAAUAAC